UUUUUAAUUUCUUGAGGAACUUCCAUACUGUUUUCCAGAGUGGCUGCACCAGUUUGCAUUCCCACCAACCUGGGAACUUUUUUGAAAAGCAGACCCUCAGGCCCAUCCAAGACUCAUUGACCCAGAAUUUGCAUUUUAAUAAGACCCCCAGUAGAGUCAGUGCAAAUUGAAAUCAGAGAAGGGCCCCUCUGGACCAAGGUUCUCAACUUUGGCUGCAAAUCAGAAUCACCUGGGGGACUGAGUGCUUUAAUUGGCUUGGGGGGUGUGGCCUCAGCAAGGGGAUUUUUAAAAGCCCCAGGUGAUGCUAAUGUGCAGUCAAGGUUAAGAACUUGGGGACUAGUGCAAUGGCCCUUAAUACUGGCUGCACAUUAGGUUCAUCUGAAAUUUUAAAAAUAAAUCUCUGGGGUUGACGUUUUUAAAAAGCCCCUAGUAAUUCCAACGGGCAGCCAAGGUUUAGAACAAGUAUAGGAGACCAAACUUGAGUUUUUUGGCCUUGCAAUUAUUCAUUUAACAGUUAUUUAUAGCACUUUUUAAUAAUACAGGCAGGGAGGUGGGUACGAAGGCUAUGCACCAGUAACCAGACACAGUCCCUGAGCUCAGGGAGUGAGGUGGGCAAGUUACUUCUCUCGGAGUCUCAGUUCUCUCAUCUGAGGGAGUGGUAUAGUGAUCGGGGGACUGUCUCUAUCAAUUUCUCACCUUUGGCAUAAAUUCCUGUCCACACACCUAGCUGACUUCAGGCUUCUAGAGAGGCCACCGCUGAUUGGAUGAGGGUGAACACCUGAUCGAGAAGUGGCCAAUCCACGAGCUGACCAAAAGCCUAACACUUGUGCUGUUAGCAAAGUAAUGGUUUGUUUGCUGUGUUCUUGGACCAGAAAAUACUGUUUCCUAGAACUAGAAUUAGGACUGAGAAAAUAAACAAAGUUUGUGAGAACUUGUUUGCUCCUCAGGGAGCUGACCUUUCUGAAAGAGCCUUUCCCAGGAUGCCUUGCAGGAAGGUGUAGCACCUGUGAGUAGCCAGCCUGGAGCUACCUGGAGGACAGGAUUUGGGCAUGAAUGGAUGUUGCCCAGGAGGAGUUCCUCAGGACUUCUUUUUCUUGAUAAGUAAUGGUAACUCAGCCACCAGCAGAAUCUAGCUGACACCCAGUUGAUGGUUGACCAGAAAUCCCAUACCUUUCUGCCGGCCGCCAUGGUACCCUGGAGCUGAAAAUGGGUGUUGAGAACACAGUCUCUCAGGAGGCUCUGAGAAGGGCUUGAGUGAAAUGGGUUUGCUGUGAUGUGACAGAUGGGCUCUGAGCGGCUGAGUCAAGACCGGGAAGCUUAGGCCUACCUGAUACUGGUACAUCUGGAUCUGCCCUUGAGGUCAGGCUUAGUGAUGGCCUGGUCGUGAUAGGCCUGCUUGGAAUGGGUUUAAAUAUUGGCUCUGGGGUGCCUGGGUGGCUCAGCUGGUUAAGCGUCUGACUCUUGGUCUUGGCUCAGGUGGUGAUCUCAUGGUUUGCGGGAUCAAGCUCCGCCUUGGACUCUGUGCUGACAG